GUCUGCAAGGUCGCCCUGCUCCACUGAAGAAGAGGCGGGAGACCUGCAGGGAGGGAGGGACGGCUGCCCCUUGCCGAGAGGGAAUACCGGUUUAUGAAGCCAUCACUCGACAGCGGUCGUGAUAAACUGAACUCAUGCGUCCUCCACACAUGUGAGAAGCUUUAGGUCAGGCUCAUUAAGGAACGGCAGAGCUGGCGCCCUAAAACUGCAGACAGAUUGAGAAAGAAGAUUCCACUCCUAGGAUAUAUUCUAAAGACCUGGAAACACAUCUACACAAGAGCUUGUCCACGGAUGUCCACAGCCACGCUAUUUGUCUGCCAAAAAACAGCAACUCGAACGUCGAAGCCACAGCAUGAGGGAGACAUGACGGGCUGCCUAGACUGUUGAGCGGGAGGACCUCAGACCUCUCAGCUGCUUGGGGAGAAGUCACCUCCCAGUGUGAACGGCUGAGCAGGAGCCCCGUUCUCCGCCUCCUCAGCCAGCACUACACACACGUGUGUCCAGCAGGUAUUUAUUAAACCCCUACUGGAUGCCGGGCAAUAUUCUGAGGACACAGCAGUAGCAGGAGAGUCCCUGCUCUAAAAGAUUAUAAAAAAUACACAGGUGAAAGCAAGAGGGCCAGCCCACGGCGUGGUGGUUAAGGCGGCUGGGUCCCACAUGGCCAGCGACACGGUUUGAGUCCCAGACUCUGGCUUGAGAAAUACGCCCAGCACAUGUACGUGCAAAAACCCCGAGAGGAAGGUGAGAAGAUGUGGGAUAAGAAGGGUCCGACACGGUCCUGCCUCUGCAGGAGAGCAAUGAAGGAAAGCCGCAGGGGCUCACAAGUCAGGAACAGGGCCUGAUGCGUGUGUUCUCUUCGCGCUUUUCUAGCUGGAGUGAAAGAGGCAGAGAGGCACCCCCACAGGGCCUUUCACACCUCGACCCACCCCGCGUCUCAGCCAGCCUGGAUCAUGACCACACAUGUGCAUGCUCGGGAGGUCCCGGGACGCAAACCCAGGACCUUUCCCAUGUGGGCCCCAUGUGCUGCCACGACACCACCACCAGCUCCUGGCUUGUAUUGUUGAUAGGUCACUCCAGCUGCUGGGUAGAAGAUCAACAGGUAGUGGGUGACAAGAAAGCCCCGGCCGCAACAGCCUUCUGUCCACUGGGGACCUGGCUCCGUCUGCCCCCACCUUCUUCCAGUGUCCAGAGGGGGCCAGGGGGACCCAGGGUCACUGCAGUGACGUCAGCGCCUUUACUGUGUUUACUUGACAUUUUUUCAUUGAAAUCAACUGCUCGUACUAUUAUUUGAAUAAAUGUUUUAGAGAAAUUAUAUAACACCCAAAGGUAGGAGGUUUAAUGCACAAGUAAUUUUUUCCUAAUUCACCUUAACAUAAA